CAACCCUCGAACCCCUCCGGGGGGUCGGCGUUGGGGAUCGGCCCUUUACGGGGCCGGCCCCGAAAUACAGUGGCGGUCUCGCCGCAGCCUAUCCAGCGCAGUAGUUUGCACACUCGCAUCGGGAGCGCGGUGCGUCCAUUGCCGUAAAACACCCAACUAUCUGAAA
rnacentral:misc_RNA from 1 species